UGAGGAAUAUUGGUCAAUGGGCGCAAGCCUGAACCAGCCAUGCCGCGUGCAGGAAGACGGUCCUAUGGAUUGUAAACUGCUUUUAUUUGGGAAUAAACCUCUUUACGUGUAGAGAGCUGAAGGUACCAAAUGAAUAAGCACCUGCUAACUCCGUGCCAGCAGCCGCGGUAAUACGGAGGGUGCAAGCGUUAUCCGGAAUCAUUGGGUUUAAAGGGUCCGCAGGCGGUCUUAUAAGUCAUUUGUGAAAGCCUACAGCUCAACUGUAGAACUGCCAUUGAUACUGUAAGACUUGAAUUCAAUCGAAGGGGACGGAAUAUGACAUGAAGAGGUGAAAUGCUUAGAGAUGUCAUAGAACACCGAUAGCGAAGGCAGAUCACUAAGGAUGGAUUGAAGCAAAGAGACGAGAGAGUGGGGAGCAAACA
rnacentral:rRNA from 1 species